CAGUAACUUCCAUUACAUGGAUUAACAGUAGUUGUUACAUCGCAUUGGUGAAGAAGUACUCAAUGUCACUUACGCAAGUGGUUUGAAUGUGGUAAUUCAUCAAUUGGAUAAUGUGAUACAAUAUAAUUGCUUCUCAAUAGUUUACUGCUAUGUGUUAUAGUUUAUGCUACUUUAUUAUUUGAUUAUGCUCUUUCUUACUAUAACAACAAAAUUAUGAUCAAAGUCACCAUUCUGUUAAUGAUGCCUUCUCCAUUUAGUGCUCGAAUUAUUAAUGUGAUCUCACAACUGGAAAAACUUAAUGACAUAUGGAAUGUAAGUGUCUUACACUUCCUUUUCAUUAUUCUUCUUCUUCAUACUUUUCAUGUAAUUGGUUUAUAAAUUAAUAUUUCCCUGAUAUAAAGCAGUUUGGCUACAAUUCCAGCUCAAUAAUUCUGACAGACAAGUGAACUGACUCUAAGACAAAUCAAAGAGUUGAAGAAUAUAGUAAUUGAUAACGGUUCCUCAACAAUGGUAUUGUCACCCUUUCUAUCCAUAGACCAGCUGCUCCUUCUGCUUCUUCAUCUGUCUAAGACCAGAGUUACGUUCUUUUGAGUGAAGAACUGGGCAUGUAUGAGUGUUAUGCUGCUCUUUUUUCAUAUUAGAACAAUGGUGGACACGAAGAAUUUUCCCAAUUAAAGAAUCUAUGCACUAUUCAGGUCUGUUAAAGAUGUGAAUAACCAUCCAACUAUUAGACAUGAAGCAGUCAAACUGUUGGUUCUCAUAGCAGAUGCGGAACAUAUUACACUUCUUGAAGAUUUUUCCAAUACUAUACGGUCAGUUGUCAUACAAGACGGCAUAUUCUCAUAGAGUAUUGACAAAGAUCUCAUGUUUUGGAAAUCUUCAGAGAAUCGGUUAUGUGGAUUGCAACAGAUUAUAAGUUGGAUUUUUCAUCAUUCUAUUGGAAAUGAAAGAAAGUAUAAAGUGAGGAGAUGCAAAGCAAUGUGAGUAAUGAAGGAUCAGGUA